AUUGAACGCUGGCGGCAGGCCUAACACAUGCAAGUCGAGCGAGCGGCGGACGGGUGAGUAAUGUCUGGGAAACUGCCUGAUGGAGGGGGAUAACUACUGGAAACGGUAGCUAAUACCGCAUACCAUCAGAUGUGCCCAGAUGGGAUUAGCUAGUAGGUGGGGUAACGGCUGACCUAGGCGACGAUCCCUAGCUGGUCUGAGAGGAUGACCAGCCACACCGGAACUGAGACACGGCCCAGACUACUACGGGAGGCAGCAUUGGGGAAGAUUGCACAAUGGGCGCAAGCCUGAUGCAGCCAUGCCGCGUGUGUGAAGAAGGCCUUCGGGUUGUAAAGCACUUUCAGCGGGGAGGCGUUACCCGCAGAAGAAGCACCGGCUAACUACGUGCCAGCAGCCGCGGUAAUAC
rnacentral:rRNA from 1 species